rnacentral:rRNA from 1 species
AUGUAUCAUCACCACCUUCAGCAGCAGCAGCAGCGUGGAGAAUCGGAAGCAGCGGCAUCGGCAGAUCAGGACAGCAGCAUGUCCAACCUCACCACCUCCGCCUCCGCUUUCGCCAACCCUCCUCCUCCUCCAACCCCGGCCUCCAACAAGCGCAAGCGAAGCCUACCCGGCAACCCCGACCCAGAGUCGGAGGUGGUUGCGCUGUCUCCGGCGACGCUGAUGGCGACGAACCGGUUCCUGUGCGAGAUCUGCGGCAAGGGGUUCCAGCGCGACCAGAACCUGCAGCUGCACCGGCGCGGGCACAACCUGCCAUGGAAGCUGAAGCAGCGCGGGAGCAAGGAGGUGGUGCGGAAGAAGGUGUACAUCUGCCCGGAGGCGUCGUGCGUGCACCACGACCCGUCGCGCGCGCUGGGCGACCUCACCGGGAUCAAGAAGCACUUCUUCCGCAAGCACGGCGAGAAGAAGUGGAAGUGCGACAAGUGCUCCAAGAAGUACGCCGUGCAGUCGGACUGGAAGGCGCACUCCAAGAUCUGCGGCACCCGCGAGUACAAGUGCGACUGCGGGACCGUCUUCUCCAGACGGGACAGCUUCAUCACGCACCGGGCCUUCUGCGACGCGCUCACCGAGGAGAGCAACAAGGCCAUCAGCGGGGGCGGCCUGCCACUGCCACCCAUCGCGCACGCCCAGCACCACGCCAUGCUCUAUUCGCCGCACGAUCUGAUGCAGCAGCAGCACCACCACCACCACCAGGAGCUCGCCGCGUUCCAGGACCAGCAUCACCAGGUCUUGCAGCAGCAUUGCAACUUCGACGUGAAGCCGGAGAUGCAGCCGUGGCCAACCAUGCCCUACGACGACGUCCACCACCCGCUGCUGCAGCCGCUCUGCAGCGCCACCGCGCAGAGCUCCGCCACGUCCGUGCCGACGCCUACGCAGCAGCAGCAGCUUCCCGCGGCAGCCGCGCACCUGUCGGCCACAGCGCUGCUACAAAAGGCGGCGCAGAUGGGCGCGACCAUCGGCGGGGCCGGCGCUGGCGGGGCGGGAGUGCACUACACCCAGAUGGCCGGCUCGGCGACCAGCGCGACCGGCAGCGCCACCUUCGGGCUCGGCCUCUCGUGCCUCAGCAACCAGCAGAUGAUGAGCCUCGCCAGGACCGCCUCCCAAGGCCGGAGCGGCGAGGAAGGCGUCGCCUCGGGAGGGGCCAACGACGGCAUGACCAGGGACUUCCUGGGGCUGCGCGCCUUCUCGCACCGCGACAUCCUCGGCCUCGCCGGCUUUGACUCGUCGUGCAUGGGCGCCGCCGUGAACACGGCCGGCAACAACACCAACAUGGCGCCCUGCUACGAGCCAAAGCAACAAGGACAGCCGCCGCAGCAGCAGAACAGCAACGAGCCAUGGCAUGGCAUGGGUAGCCAUAGCUAG